UUUCCGUAGGUGAACCUGCGGAAGGAUCAUUGUCGAAACCUGCCCAGCAGAACGACCCGCGAACUUGUAUAAACAACCGGGGGCGGGGGGCGUUCUCGCCCCGUGCCCCCGAACGGCGGGGAGACACUCGUGCCUUCUUGCCGAACAACGAACCCCGGCGCGGUCUGCGCCAAGGAACUUCAACUAAAGAGUGCCUCCGGUCGCCUCGGAAACGGCGUGCGUGCCGGGGGCGAAUCUUGCGCAAAACCAUAACGACUCUCGGCAACGGAUAUCUCGGCUCUC
rnacentral:misc_RNA from 1 species